CGAGUGGCGAACGGGUGAGUAAUACAUCGGAACGUGUCCGCUCGUGGGGGACAACCAGCCGAAAGGUUGGCUAAUACCGCAUGAGUUCUACGGAAGAAAGAGGGGGACCCGCAAGGGCCUCUCGCGAGCGGAGCGGCCGAUGACUGAUUAGCCGGUUGGUGAGGUAACGGCUCACCAAAGCAACGAUCAGUAGCUGGUCUGAGAGGACGACCAGCCACACUGGGACUGAGACACGGACCAGACUCCUACGGGAGGCAGCAG
rnacentral:rRNA from 1 species